CUGUUCGCCAAUUAAAGCGGUACGCGAGCUGGGUUCAGAACGUCGUGAGACAGUUCGGUCCCUAUCUACCGCGGGCGCAGGAGAUUUGAGGGGAGCCACCCUUAGUACGAGAGGACCGGGGUGGACGCACCGCUGGUGUCCCAGUUGUCGCGCCAGCGGCACGGCUGGGUAGCCAAGUGCGGACCGGAUAAACGCUGAAAGCAUCUAAGCGUGAAGCCGACCCCAAGAUUAGAUCUCCCACAGGGUCAACCUGGUAAGACUCCUCGUAGAUUACGAGGUUGAUAGGCCGGGGGUGUAAGCGCAGCAAUGCGUUGAGCCGACCGGUACUAAUCAGUCGAGGGCUUGACCUG
rnacentral:rRNA from 1 species